UUCAUUCUUCAGUUUUUUGCCUUAUCUGUUCCUUUUCUUUGUUCUUUUGAUGUUGGUCCGAUACUUAGAAAAAAAUUUUUCCUUUCUUUAUUUCAGACAUUCCCCACAUGCCGACCAGCAAUGCAUCUCUCUUCGCCCGACUGAAGAGGAGGGCGGCCGAGGCCGGCAGGGCUCUCCCCAAGCCCCGAAAAAAGGCUAAGUUGGCUGCUACUUCUGCCCCUGCCGAGGCGAGGGACUCGGAGGCCGAAGCUUCGGGGUCUUCCCGGGG
rnacentral:lncRNA from 1 species